UUUUUUUGCCGAUAAGAUUUCACGUCUGCCGUCUACAGUGAUUUUCAAAUAUGUACUUUGCUUUUCAAAGUUGCUAUAUUUGGCUUCUCUUUCUGCGAGUGCAAUGAUCCUGUGCUAAUGGAGUAAUGGUUCAAAUUUCAAAUACAAAUGUCACUGCAAAGUACAUUUGUUUUCUCAUUUUUUUUCCCUCUAAUUACUUUGGUUUUAAUCUAAGUACAGAUUGGCACUAAGCAGCAUAAGUACUGAAUUUUUUUUGCAAUUAGGCGUUUCUGUGAAAAAGCCCCAAUUUUUAGCUGUAUUCACUCGACUAUUUCUAUUUAAGACGAA
rnacentral:misc_RNA from 1 species